UACGAGGGAUGCAAGCGUUAUCCCGGAAUUAUUGGGCGUAAAGCGUUUGUAGGCGGGCGAGUGUGUUUAAUGUUAAAUCUUAAAGCUCAACUUUGAAAUUGCGUUAAAAACUGCUUGUCUUGAGUAUGGUAGGGGUAAAGGGAAUUCCCAGUGUAGCGGUGAAAUGCGUAGAUAUUGGGAAGAACACUAAACAGCGAAGGCACUUUACUAGGCUAAUACUGACGCUGAGAAACGAAAGGUAAGGUAGCGAAACGGAUUAGAUACCCGUGUAGUCUUACCCGUAAACUAUGGACACUAAACGGUAAAUUUUUAAUUUACUGUUAAAGCUAACGCGUUAAGUGUCCCGCCUGGGGAGUAUGCUUGCAAAAGUGAAACUCAAAGGAAUUGACGGGGGCCCGCACAAGCGGUGGAGCAUGUGGUUUAAUUCGACGGUACACGAAGAACCUUACCAGGAUUUGACAUGCUAGAUAGUUGCUUGAAAGAGUAACGUGCCGUAAGGAAUCUAGACACAGGUGGUGCAUGGCUGUCGUCAGUUCGUGUUGUGAAAUGUUGGGUUAAGUCCCGCAACGAACGCAACCCUUGUCUUUAGUUAUUUUCUAAAGAGACUGCCUGUAAUAAACAGGAGGAAGGUAAGGAUGAGGUCAAGUCAUCAUGCCCCUUAUGUCCUGGGCUACACACGUGCUACAAUGGGAAAGACAAUGAGCUGCAAAUCUGUAAAUUUAAGCAAAUCUCUUAAACUUUCUCGUAGUUCGGAUUGUGGGCUGCAACUCGCCCACAUGAAGUUGGAAUCGCUAGUAAUCGCCAGUCAGCUAUAUGGCGGUGAAUCCGUUCCCGGGCCU
rnacentral:rRNA from 1 species